UACGUAGGGGGCAAGCGUUGUCCGGAUUUAUUGGGCGUAAAGAGCUCGUAGGCGGUUUGUCGCGUCUGCUGUGAAAACCCGAGGCUCAACCUCGGGCCUGCAGUGGGUACGGGCAGACUAGAGUGCGGUAGGGGAGAUUGGAAUUCCUGGUGUAGCGGUGGAAUGCGCAGAUAUCAGGAGGAACACCGAUGGCGAAGGCAGAUCUCUGGGCCGUAACUGACGCUGAGGAGCGAAAGCAUGGGGAGCGAACAGGG
rnacentral:rRNA from 1 species